CAUGUGCUUCGAUGUUCACUAUGUAAGCUCAAAAUGCACACAAUAAGGCUUUGUUUACACAGAAGGGUUCCAAAAUCGACUGUCGCCUACAUCCUCUGCAUUUUUGCAGCUUAUGCCCUGAAAUAGUGCAGCAUGCAGAGGCGCAGAAGGUGGGGGACACGUUCCACCCAGUUAAAUAGGGACCCUGAUCCGUCUCAAACCGCCCGACUUUUGUGGGGAAAAAAACUUUGAGAACUAAAUAGGGUUGGACACCGUGGUGUUUGAACUCGUCAAAUCGUGUCGACCAUCGGGAAGUACUCAUAGCAUGUGUUUGCUGCAGGUAGCAGUGCACUCACACGCGCGCGCGACCCCCAGCCUGUACACACGCGCUCCCACUGUUCCGCUUUGUCUCGUUUGUAGGUAGAGAUCGACAGAGUGCACGCAUUCCUAUUAACCUAUGCUGUACACGUUUUUAAAAAUUUUCACUUCCACGAUGACCUACCCAUUUAACGAAGGACAAAUAACCUAAACACCGAUGUCACUUUCUAAAAUAUUUUAUUCAAGAAUAUCAGAUCUAUACUUGCCGCAUUUGUGAUUGUAUUCCGCCGUUGUACAGCCUUAUAUUGUGCCGGAUGCAGCUUCGGUCACACGAACCUGCAAAGCGGUAUGCAAUACGGCAAAAAGCGCAACCCGCAAAAGAACAAAGAUCUGUCUCGUUGUUCUUUGAAGGUGCAAGCGAUGAUUGUUCACAGCGGCGCCAGCGAAAUUCUUCUUCUUGACACACCAGUGAUGCGCCCGCUGAUGGGUCCGCGGAUACGAGUCAAACAAAUGCAUUUUAAUAACAUUCGGGUAAUUUGAGGACGGGUAAGUUUUAAGCAUGUAAAGUGGGCUAGACAUCAUUUUGUCUUUAUUGAUAUUUGCGUUCGAGUCGGGUUAAAUUAUAAACGUUCUACUUUUAGAUAUACGAUGGCGCGUUAGGGCAUUGAUAAAGCAAAAUAGUAGAAUGGUCGAUUUCGAGAAUAAAGUCAUAAUAUUUCGCUUAUGACUUUAAUGUAAAAAUAUUUCGAGAUUUAAACUUGUAGUUUGCAGCCUAUGUAUGUGAAUUUCCCCUUUAUGGCCGAAUUUGCCAUUGACAUGUGUUAUGCCGAAACAGGCAUCCCUGCCGGGAGAUUGCACCACUGAAAACAGCGGAAGGGAAACUCUUUUUUGUAGAGUGUGACAACGACCGUUUCUGUUUCUGUAAACGCAUAAAACGCAUGUAACAUAUCACACGACAUUGUAUUUUGUUAAAAUACAGAUAUACAACACAAACAAACAAAAUAGUCGCGGAUCUGAAAACGGGUAUACCUAUAAUACCUAGACUCACGCAUGUCAAUAUCAAUUCAGAAGUUCAAAACAACAGACACGAACUUGGCACUAUAACGCUUAAUUGUUACAUUAUAUGUUUAUAUCAGAUGUAUAUUAACGCUGUUAUUUUCACGAAGAAAAAUAAAUUUGUUACAUUUUGUUGCUCAAUAUUUUUUAAAACGUCUGGGUCUCUUUAUGGCUAAAAUAGUGUUGCACCACGUAACUCAGAACACACUUAUCUCCAAAUUGUAUUAACGUGCUUUAUGCCGGGGUCAGUGCGAAUAUAAAUAAUAAUAAUAAUAAUAAUAAUAAUAAUAAUAAAUGCAAAAUUAAUGGGUAUGCCUGUUUCAGCAUUUUAUGCCUUUUAUGAGAUAGUGUCUUAACUAAUCUGUGCAACCAUAUGAUUGACACAAAGAGCGUAUGCAGUGAAAAAAAAAA